rnacentral:rRNA from 1 species
UGAGUAACACGUAUCCAACCUGCCGUCUACUCUUGGCCAGCCUUCUGAAAGGAAGAUUAAUCCAGGAUGGCAUCAUGAGUUCACAUGUCCGCAUGAUUAAAGGUAUUUUCCGGUAGACGAUGGGGAUGCGUUCCAUUAGGUUGUUGGUGAGGUAACGGCUCACCAAGCCUUCGAUGGAUAGGGGUUCUGAGAGGAAGGUCCCCCACAUUGGAACUGAGACACGGUCCAA